rfam:Myotis lucifugus cont2.47294, whole genome shotgun sequence.
CAAUCCAAUGAUGAUGAGUCCUGGCAUUUAAGUCAUAUGCAACGAAUACCACUGGAACUCUGAGGUCCAA